rnacentral:rRNA from 1 species
UACGGAGGGGGCGAGCGUUAAUCGGAAUUACUGGGCGUAAAGGGUGCGUAGGAGGUAUGGUAAGUUAACUGUGAAAUUCCUGGGCUUAACCUGGGACGUGCAGAUGAUACUGCUGUACUCGAGUAUGGGAGAGGGUAGUGGAAUUUCCAGUGUAGCGGUGAAAUGCGUAGAGAUCGGAAGGAACACCAGUGGCGAAGGCGGCUACCUGGCCCAAUACUGACACUGAGGCGCGAAAGCGUGGGGAGCAAACAGG